UACGUAGGGGGCAAGCGUUGUCCGGAUUUAUUGGGCGUAAAAGGCUUGUAGGUGGCCACGCCAAGUCGGAUGUGAAAUCUCCCGGCUCAACUGGGAGGGGUCAUUCGAUACUGGCGGGCUCGAGGCCGGUAGGGGGAAGUGGAAUUCCCGGUGUAGUGGUGGAAUGCGUAGAUAUCGGGAGGAACACCAGUGGCGAAGGCGACUACCUGGCCUGUUCUUGACGCUGAGGCGCGAAAGCUAGGGGAGCAAACGGG
rnacentral:rRNA from 1 species